rnacentral:rRNA from 1 species
GAUGAACGCUGGCGGCGUGCCUAAUACAUGCAAGUCGAGCGAACAGAUGAGGAGCUUGCUCCUCUGACGUUAGCGGCGGACGGGUGAGUAACACGUGGAUAACCUACCUAUAAGACUGGGAUAACUUCGGGAAACCGGAGCUAAUACCGGAUAAUAUAUUGAACCGCAUGGUUCAAUAGUGAAAGACGGUUUUGCUGUCACUUAUAGAUGGAUCCGCGCCGCAUUAGCUAGUUGGUAAGGUAACGGCUUACCAAGGCGACGAUGCGUAGCCGACCUGAGAGGGUGAUCGGCCACACUGGAACUGAGACACGGUCCAGACUCCUACGGGAGGCAGCAGUAGGGAAUCUUCCGCAAUGGGCGAAAGCCUGACGGAGCAACGCCGCGUGAGUGAUGAAGGUCUUCGGAUCGUAAAACUCUGUUAUUAGGGAAGAACAAAUGUGUAAGUAACUAUGCACGUCGUGACGGUACCUAAUCAGAAAGCCACGGCUAACUACGUG